rnacentral:rRNA from 1 species
CAGGACGAACGCUGGCGGCGUGCCUAAUACAUGCAAGUCGAGCGAACAGAAGGGAGCUUGCUCCCGGAUGUUAGCGGCGGACGGGUGAGUAACACGUGGGUAACCUGCCUGUAAGACUGGGAUAACUCCGGGAAACCGGAGCUAAUACCGGAUAGUUCCUUGAACCGCAUGGUUCAAGGAUGAAAGACGGUUUCGGCUGUCACUUACAGAUGGACCCGCGGCGCAUUAGCUAGUUGGUGGGGUAAUGGCUCACCAAGGCGACGAUGCGUAGCCGACCUGAGAGGGUGAUCGGCCACACUGGGACUGAGACACGGCCCAGACUCCUACGGGAGGCAGCAGUAGGGAAUCUUCCGCAAUGGACGAAAGUCUGACGGAGCAACGCCGCGUGAGUGAUGAAGGUUUUCGGAUCGUAAAGCUCUGUUGUUAGGGAAGAACAAGUGCGAGAGUAACUGCUCGCACCUUGACGGUACCUAACCAGAAAGCCACGGCUAACUACGUGCCAGCAGCCGCGGUAAUACGUAGGUGGCAAGCGUUGUCCGGAAUUAUUGGGCGUAAAGGGCUCGCAGGCGGUUUCUUAAGUCUGAUGUGAAAGCCCCCGGCUCAACCGGGGAGGGUCAUUGGAAACUGGGAAACUUGAGUGCAGAAGAGGAGAGUGGAAUUCCACGUGUAGCGGUGAAAUGCGUAGAGAUGUGGAGGAACACCAGUGGCGAAGGCGACUCUCUGGUCUGUAACUGACGCUGAGGAGCGAAAGCGUGGGGAGCGAACAGGAUUAGAUACCCUGGUAGUCCACGCCGUAAACGA